CCCUGCAAAGAAUGACCUAAGGGUUGCAGGGCUGUUGCCAACAAAUGCUUUACACAAGAAGCACUUCUGACUGUUUAUUUGCUAGAACUAAAAUUUAACUGUUAUGAGGAUCAAACAACAAAGACAUCAUACACUCAUAGGUGGCAGAUAUGUUCCCAACGACCUGUGAGUUAACUUUAACUUCUUGUACUUUUCCCUCAGGGAUAUACUGAAGAAGACGAUAUCCUAAGAACAGAGUUCUAGAACAUCUCAGAAAUUUAUCUGGCCUACUCUACAGAAAUCACUUAAAUCUAAUAUAACAACAUGUGUAAACUGGAUGAAUUUUCACAAACUGAACCACCGUUUGAACCAAUCACACUGCUGCAACUCCUUCAAGAGUAAUUGUGAUCCUGGCAUCUAACAGGAGGUAUUCUAGAAGAAUUCUAGAAGCAUUGUUAUCAUAGGAGAUGACAAUUCCAUGCAUGUUAUCGCCUCUGAAGACCUUCUAGUGGGACAAGAUAUGAAAUGAAAGAGAGUGAAAUCGAUUAUCUUGACCCUGCGUAGGGUUAGC